rnacentral:rRNA from 1 species
UGGGGAAUAUUGGACAAUGGGCGAAAGCCUGAUCCAGCCAUGCCGCGUGUGUGAAGAAGGUCUUCGGAUUGUAAAGCACUUUAAGUUGGGAGGAAGGGCAGUAAGCGAAUACCUUGCUGUUUUGACGUUACCGACAGAAUAAGCACCGGCUAACUCUGUGCCAGCAGCCGCGGUAAUACAGAGGGUGCAAGCGUUAAUCGGAAUUACUGGGCGUAAAGCGCGCGUAGGUGGUUCGUUAAGUUGAAUGUGAAAGCCCCGGGCUCAACCUGGGAACUGCAUCCAAAACUGGCGAGCUAGAGUAGGGCAGAGGGUGGAGGAAUUUCCUGUGUAGCGGUGAAAUGCGUAGAUAUAGGAAGGAACACCAGUGGCGAAGGCGACCACCUGGGCUCAUACUGACACUGAGGUGCGAAAGCGUGGGGAGCAAACAGG